CCUACGGGGGGCAGCAGUGGGGAAUAUUGGACAAUGGGGGCAACCCUGAUCCAGUCAUGCCGCGUGUGUGAAGAAGGCCCUCGGGUUGUAAAGCACUUUCAGUGAGGAAGAACGCCUGGUGGUUAAUACCCAUCAGGAAAGACAUCACUCACAGAAGAAGCACCGGCUAACUCCGUGCCAGCAGCCGCGGUAAUACGGAGGGUGCGAGCGUUAAUCGGAAUUACUGGGCGUAAAGCGCGCGUAGGUGGCUUGAUAAGCCGGUUGUGAAAGCCCCGGGCUCAACCUGGGAACGGCAUCCGGAACUGUCAAGCUAGAGUGCAGGAGAGGAAGGUAGAAUUCCCGGUGUAGCGGUGAAAUGCGUAGAGAUCGGGAGGAAUACCAGUGGCGAAGGCGGCCUUCUGGACUGACACUGACACUGAGGUGCGAAAGCGUGGGUAGCAAACAGGAUUAGAUACCCUAGUAGUC
rnacentral:rRNA from 1 species